UUUUGGUAAAAUAUUUAAUUAUGGUAUUAACUAGUAUUUUUGUGGGUUGUAUGAGUUAUGAUGUUAUUACUAUUCUAUAUGUUUAAAUAUAGGUAUUCUCAGCAACAAGUCCUUUUAAAAUGUAUGUUAUAGGUCAUAAAAAAUUAGGGGAUAAGUCACAGUGCCAGCAUCUGCGGUUAUACUGUUUCUAAUAUUAGUGUUAAGUUUUGAUUUAGUAUAUAAUUAUUUAAAAGGCAUUGGUUGAAUAACUUUUUGUUUGAUAAAUAUAUAUUUUUUUGUUGUUUGACCUUAUGUAGGACUUGGAUUAGAUACCCAAUUACUUUGGUUUAAAUUUUAUUUAGUUUAAUCUAAAAUAUUUUGGCAGCUUUUUAGUUUCGUUCGGGGGAAGGAGUGAUUUAAGGGAUGAUAAACCAUUGAUUAGGCUUGAUAUAAGCAGGUGUAUGUCCGGUUUAUUAUUAGUGUUUAAAAGCAUUUAGUGUAUUAAUAUUUAAGUCAGGUCUAUGUGCCGCAUUUUCAAGGAGUUAACUACUUACAUUAAAUAGAUAAAAUACUUGAAAAACAUUUUUUUUAGGACUCGAUAGUAAUAGUGUAUAAAUUUGUCAUUAUGAAUCUGGCGAUGAUUAGUGUACACACUGCCCGUCAACCUUAACUAUAUAGUCAAGGUAAGUCGUAACAAGGUAACUUUAUGGGAAUGUAAAGUUGGUUACUUAGA
rnacentral:rRNA from 1 species